rnacentral:tRNA from 1 species
GAGGGUAUAGCUCAGUGGUAGAGUGAGGCAUGCUUAGCAUGCAUGAGGUCCUGGGUUCAAUCCCCAGUACCUCCA